rnacentral:rRNA from 1 species
UACAGAGGGGGCAAGCGUUGUUCGGAAUUACUGGGCGUAAAGGGCGCGUAGGCGGCCUUCUAAGUCGAACGUGAAAUCCCCGGGCUCAACCCGGGAACUGCGUCCAAUACUGGAAGGCUUGAAUCCGGGAGAGGGAUGCGGAAUUCCAGGUGUAGCGGUGAAAUGCGUAGAUAUCUGGAGGAACACCGGUGGCGAAGGCGGCAUCCUGGACCAAUUCUGACGCUGAGGAGCGAAAGCCAGGGGAGCAAACGGG